rnacentral:lncRNA from 1 species
AGGUGGUUAUGGAGGUCUGAGCAGUGUGAGUGGUGGUUAUGGAGGUGGUUAUGGAGGUCUGAGCAGUGUGAGUGGUGGUUAUGGAGGUGGUUAUGGUGAUCAGAGCAAUGUGAGUGGUGGUUGUGGAGGUGGUUAUGGUGAUCAGAGCAAUGUGAGUGGUGGUUAUGGAGAUCAGAGCAGUGUGACUGGUGGUUAUGGAGGUGGUUAUGGUGGUCAGAGCAGCUGAGUGGUGGUUAUGGAGGUGGUUAUGGUGAUCAGAGCAAUGUGAGUGGUGGUUAUGGAGGUGGUUAUGGUGAUCAGAGCAAUGUGAGUGGUGGUUGUGGAGGUGGUUAUGGUGAUCAGAGCAGUGUGAGUGGUGGUUAUGGAGGUGGUUAUGGUGAUCAGAGCAAUGUGAGUGGUGGUAUUGGAGGUGGUUAUGGUGGUCAGAGCAGCUGAGUGGUGGUUAUGGAGGUGGUUAUGGUGGUCAGAGCAGUCUGAGUGGUGGUUAUGGAGGUCAGAGCAGUAUGAGUGGUGGUUAUGGUGGUCAGAGCAGUGUGACUGGUGGUUAUGGAGGUG